rnacentral:sRNA from 1 species
CAAGUGUUGCCAUAUCUUGUAAUCUAA